UAACCUACUAAAUAGUGCUGCUAGCUUUUGCUGGUAUAGUCACUUCUUAGAGGGACUAUCGAUUUCAAGUCGAUGGAAGUUUGAGGCAAUAACAGGUCUGUGAUGCCCUUAGACGUUCUGGGCCGCACGCGCGCUACACUGACGGAGCCAGCGAGUAUUAACCUUGGCCGAGAGGUCUGGGAAAUCUUGUGAAACUCCGUCGUGCUGGGGAUAGAGCAUUGUAAUUAUUGCUCUUCAACGAGGAAUUCCUAGUAAGCGCAAGUCAUCAGCUUGCGUUGAUUACGUCCCUGCCCUUUGUACACACCGCCCGUCGCU
rnacentral:rRNA from 1 species